CCGACACGGAGGCAACACAUCCGGGAGAGAGGGGCUUUCUGCAGAUUUCCGUCAGCCCACCACUCGGGAUCUGUAUAAAGAAGGAAAGCCAUGCCAUGAAGAUUGCACAGGCAUUGUGAGUUACCUUUUGUAUGGCUAAGAGAGACAGUACUGCGAUACGUCAUCGCUAAGAGACAUCAAGGUCAACAUUAAGAACUUUGCUCAGGUCCUGGAGAUAAAGCUCAAGUACUCAUGCUUAUGCCAGCGAGCCAUCUCUCCAGCUCUGAUUCUGUAUGAUCUUGAUGAAGCAAGCUCUCACUGGAGAAUAAAUCCUCAGACCUGUCGUAGCCUUGGGCAUCCAAGAAUGUGCCUGAAAUCCCAGCAUGGAAGAGGCUGAGGUAGGAAGAUCACAAAUUGAAGGCUGACCUGACCAUGUCUCUAAACAAAUAAAUAAACAAAGCAAAACAAAAGAAAAACAACACAUAA